rnacentral:rRNA from 1 species
ACACAUGACAGUCGAACGAUGAACCACUUCGGUGGGGAUUAGUGGCGAACGGGUGAGUAACACGUGGGCAAUCUGCCCUUCACUCUGGGACAAGCCCUGGAAACGGGGUCUAAUACCGGAUAUCACUUCCACUCGCAUGGGUGGGGGUUGAAAGCUCCGGCGGUGAAGGAUGAGCCCGCGGCCUAUCAGCUUGUUGGUGAGGUAAUGGCUCACCAAGGCGACGACGGGUAGCCGGCCUGAGAGGGCGACCGGCCACACUGGGACUGAGACACGGCCCAGACUCCUACGGGAGGCAGCAGUGGGGAAUAUUGCACAAUGGGCGAAAGCCUGAUGCAGCGACGCCGCGUGAGGGAUGACGGCCUUCGGGUUGUAAACCUCUUUCAGCAGGGAAGAAGCGAAAGUGACGGUACCUGCAGAAGAAGCGCCGGCUAACUACGUGCCAGCAGCCGCGGUAAUACGUAGGGCGCAAGCGUUGUCCGGAAUUAUUGGGCGUAAAGAGCUCGUAGGCGGCUUGUCACGUCGGGUGUGAAAGCCCGGGGCUUAACCCCGGGUCUGCAUUCGAUACGGGCUAGCUAGAGUGUGGUAGGGGAGAUCGGAAUUCCUGGUGUAGCGGUGAAAUGCGCAGAUAUCAGGAUGAACACCGGUGGCGAAGGCGGAUCUCUGGGCCAUUACUGACGCUGAGGAGCGAAACCGUGGGGAGCGAACAGGAUUAGAUACCCUGGUAGUCCACGCCGUAAACGGUGGGAACUAAGUGUUGGCGACAUUCCACAUCAUCGUUGCCGCAGCUCACGCACUAAUUUCCCCGCCCGGGGGAGUACGGCCCCCACGGCUAGAACUCAAAAGGAGUUGACAGGGGGCCCCCGCCACCAGCGGAAGCAGGUGGGUUUAAUUCGACGCGACGCCGCAGGAGCUUUACCAACGCUUUGGCCUAACCCGCCAAACCGCCCGAAGAAUGAUCCGCCCCAUUGUGGGGCGGGGGUACGGGGUAGGUGCAGGGGGGUGUCGUCGCUCGUGUCGUGAGAUGUUGGGUUAAGUCCCGCAACGAGCGCAACCCUUGUCCUGUGUUGCCAGCAUGCCCUUCGGGGUGAUGGGGACUCACAGGAGACCGCCGGGGUCAACUCGGAGGAAGGUGGGGACGACGUCAAGUCAUCAUGCCCCUUAUGUCUUGGGCUGCACACGUGCUACAAUGGCCGGUACAAUGAGCUGCGAAACCGCGAGGUGGAGCGAAUCUCAAAAAGCCGGUCUCAGUUCGGAUUGGGGUCUGCAACUCGACCCCAUGAAGUCGGAGUUGCUAGUAAUCGCAGAUCAGCAUUGCUGCGGUGAAUACGUUCCCGGGCCUUGUACACACCGCCCGUCACGUCACGAAAGUCGGUAACACCCGAAGCCGGUGGCCCAACCCCUUGUGGGAGGGAGCUGUCGAAGGUGGGACUGGCGAUUGGGACGAAGUCGUA